UACGUAGGGUGCAAGCGUUUGUCCGGAAUUAUUGGGCGUAAAGAGCUCGUAGGCGGUUUGUUGCGUCGGCUGUGAAAUCCCGAGGCUCAACCUCGGGUCUGCAGUCGAUACGAGCAAACUAGAGUGUUGCAGGGGAGACUGGAAUUCCUGGUGUAGCGGUGAAAUGCGCAGAUAUCAGGAGGAACACCAGUGGCGAAGGCGACUACCUGGCCUGUUCUUGACGCUGGAGGCGCGAAAGCUAGGGGAGCAAACGGG
rnacentral:rRNA from 1 species